UUGAAACGAGCCGAGUCGAGCCGAGCCGAGCUGGCCACGAGUCGAGCGAGCUCACGAGCCACGAGUAUUUUGUCCAGCCCUAGACGCGAAGCUGGGCUCUAUAUGGCCGGAGUCGGGCGGUUCCGACGGCGGACCGCUCAUCUCGGGUGGAAUCCCUGCAAAACCAGAGCCAAUGGUGGAGGUCCUCGCGAGCUCAAGCCAGCAACAACGACCAACUCCAUCAACCAUUUGUCCCAAGGUCGCCAUCGCCAAACGCAUCCGCCUGUCUGUUAUGUCCUCCAAGCUCGGUGCCGAGAAAAGGAAGCAAAGCCCGGCGCUGCUGUCGUCUAGGGCUAGAAAUAAAGCUCGAGCUCGAUGAGCUGGCUUGGGCUUGCAGCAGCUCGACUCGGACCGGCUCGACGCUCAGAACGAGCCCGAACCGAGCCUGUUUUUGUGGCUCGUGAAAAGAGCGAGCCAGCUCGGCUCGGCUUGCGAGCUGGCUCGUGGCUCGACUCAACAACAAUUUGUUACAUAAAAUCCUAAUUAGCAUAUAAUAUUACUACCGAGUAGACAAUUAAUUUAUGUUAUUUGAGAUUACUAUACAAAAUUAAUCUAUUUUCUAUAUUAUAUUAGUAAUAUAUCUAUUUUACUAAUUUAAAAUAUGUUUUUAAAAAUAUUUUAAAGAUUUUGUAUUAUAAUUUAGAGAGCGGAUCUACGUUUAUGGCUAGGAUCGUUGGCUCGCGAGCCAGAAGCGAGCCGAGCCGCUUUCCAAACUCGCCGGAUGGGCGAACCGAGCUCAGCUCGUCUCAUUUCCACCCCUACUGUCGUCUUCAUCCUCGAUUCGGUCGACGGUCCCAAAUCCAAGUCGGCGAUGGUGAAUGAAGCAUCCUCCUUUUUCUGUUCUGUUUGAUUUCUCUGUUUUCCCCAGAUUUGUUCAUAGAAUAACCCUUGGGUCAGGGGAUCUUAGUCUAUCGUUCCUUUUUUUCUUGCAAUGGGUUAGGAGUGUUUUAAUGAUUAAUUUGUCAUUUACUAAACAAACUUCAGAUACGUAGCUUUUGGUCCCAUGCCGGGCACCGUGAAGGAAUUCCCUUUUUGUGCUAAUAAAACUAGAGUAUAUCCUCUCAUUUCUGCGUCAAUUUGAGGAGUACGUACAUAUUAUUAUCAUUGAUUCUUUCAUUGACAUAGAAUAAGCCACAUUAUGUCCCUUUUUCUACAUUGAAUGUUCAUCUGUGCUCAAGGCCUUGAUGCCUUCCAUCUGCAUGAGCAGAAUGAAGAAAUUUUGGCCAAAAUGUGCUUGCAUGCAUAUGCUCUAGGAGGUUUAUAAUCAAGGAUAAUUUUCUGGAACCGUGAAAAGGAGCUCAGUCCAUUGAUUAAGGUUUCAAGCAGAUUUAAGGAAUUUUCCUCUAACAUAAGUUAUCUUUGUUAGGCAUCUUGAUAAUUUUGUCAGAUGGCAAGAGGACCUCUAGAAUACAAGAUGGUCCGUAUUUUCAUGUAUAAGGAUUAAGGAAUGAUGAAAAUAUCAUCUGUUUGAAAUGUACAGUUGUUACACCAAUCCUUAUGUGGUAUCAUGGCCACUAAACAUCAUGAAGCAAGCCACUACGGGUACACACGAGCUGAACUGAGCAACAACUUGAGCAUCUUCCCUCCCUAGCCAUUGCAUAUCACACUCACACACUGUCAGCAUGCAUCAUGAUUUAUGAGAUUCAGUGGUCCUUUAUUCCAACAGUUUCCCCCUUGUCUUCUAUAUUUAUUUAAUACCAACUAAGUUGGUUUAGGUGUCACAAUAUUUGCUUAUUUCCAUUUUUUGUUUCAUGCAGCAAGGGACACUCAAAUUCUGAUCUUGAAGCAGUUCUUAGAUGAGAAGGCGAAGAAUAAGUAGAGAAAAUGAAUCAUUAGCAGAAUUAUGAUGGUCUAACUUGUUCAAAACUGCCAAAGUUUAGCUCCUAUGUACACCAAACCAGAAAUCCCUAUAGUUCUCACAUGUGUUACAUUGACCAAGUUAGUAUAAAAACACCAAUAUUUGUGGUAGUUCAUGCCUGUGUUUGUGGUAGUUUUUGUCGUAUGUGUUGUUUAUGUUAUCAGAGAACUCUGUCGCUCUAUAA